GAUCGCGUUCCUCACGAAGUAACUCGUCUUCGAGCUCAGCGAUGGCUUUAUCGGCAACUGGAUUUUUGUUCCGAUUUUUAACACGGCCAAUUUCAAUUGAUAUGUUGAGUUGCUUUAAGUAUGAAUCGUCACAUAAAGGGCGAAAACCCGGGGCCGGGUCAACUCGAACGACAACACUGGGACCGUUUAAAGGCUUUAAAGGUAUCAAUAAGUGUAUUAGCCCAUCUCGCAAGCUACCCAGUUUUUCGUCUUUGAUAAAGCAUGUACUAGUGUACGACGUUACAGUUUCUCUGACGACCAGUAUGAGUUGACGGUUGCGCUUAAGAACGUCGGCCACGUAAGAUAUGCCAACCAAGUCCGGUGGGUCUUCUGAAGACUGCUCGACGAGGCUCUUAGGGAACCGUUUUAAAGACGCGC
rnacentral:lncRNA from 1 species